rnacentral:rRNA from 1 species
UACGUAGGGGGGCUAGCGUUGUCCGGAAUCAUUGGGCGUAAAGCGCGUGUAGGCGGCCCGGUAAGUCCGCUGUGAAAGUCGGGGGGCUCAACCCUCGGAUGCCGGUGGAUACUGUCGGGCUCGAGUACGGAAGAGGCGAGUGGAAUUCCUGGUGUAGCGGUGAAAUGCGCAGAUAUCAGGAGGAACACCAAUUGCGAAGGCAGCUCGCUGGGACGUUACUGACGCUGAGACGCGAAAGCGUGGGGAGCAAACAGG